GAAAUACAAGAAGCUUUGUAUCUAAACUAUGAUGAGUUACUGCAUCGUCUGAAGCAGUGUUUCCUUUAUUAUGCUUUGUAUGCUGAAGAUGUUAUCAUCAAACGUGAAGUAGUUACCUGGUUAUGGAUUGCUGAAGGAUUCAUAGAUGAGGGGCAAGGCCAACUAAUAAAAGACAUAGCAGAAGAGUACUACUACGAGCUAAUACAUAGGAAUCUCCUACAGCCAGAUAUUUUAAGUUUUGACUAGGCUAAAAGCAAAAUGCAUGACCUCUUAAGACAACUUGCUUGUAAUAUAUCAAGAGAAGAAUGUUCUAUUGGAGAUGUUGAAACAUUAAGGGGUGAAACUAUGUCAAAACUGCGGCGUGUUACUGCUAUCACUAACAAGGAUAAACUAGUGUUACCUAGUAUGGAUAAGGUGGAAGUUAAGGUGAGAACUUUCCUAACUAUCAAUGGUCCGUGGAGCAUCGAGGAUGCAUUGUUCAAGAUAUUUUUGCUCCUUCGUGUUUUGAUAUUGAACUUCUCACUUGUACAGAGCAUUCCGAACUAUAUAGGAAAAUUGAUACAUCUACGCCUACUUAAUCUAGAUUACACUGGCAUAUCUUUUCUUCCGAAAUCCAUUGGCUCCCUAAAGAACCUUCAAGUACUGAGCUUGAGAUGGUGUGAUGAUCUACACGCUCUUCCUAAAGCUAUGACCCUAUUAAGCAGUUUAAAAUGUCUUGAUCUUUGUGGCACGGAAAUAAAUCAAGUUCCAAAAGGAAUAGAGAAACUGAAAUUCCUAACUUAUUUAGGAGGUUAUCAUGUUGGUGGAAGUGAUAAUGCUAUUGUGCAAGAUGGAUGGAACUUGGAAGAGUUGUCUUCUUUGUCAAAAAUGAGGUUUCUUGCCCUUGUUAAAUUGGAAAGAGCAGCUCACUGCAGUACAAAUGCAGUGCUGAUAGACAAAAAACAUUUAAAAGUACUAGUACUAGAGUGCACUGGAUAUGAGGAAGGAUCAUAUUCAAAAGAAGAUAUUAGUAAUAUUGAGAAGGUCUUUGAGCAGCUAAUACCUCCACAUAACCUGGAAGACCUAUGCAUUUAUGGAUUCUUUGGUCGGGAGUAUUCUACCUGGUUUGGUACCACAUGUUUAUCUUCUUUAAUAUACUUGAAACUAAGAGAUGUACGAUCAUGUGUGGAACUUCCACCGAUUGGACAGCUACCCAACUUGAAAAAUCUGAGAAUUGAUGGAGCACAUGCAGUUACCAAGGUGGGACCUGAAUUUGUUGGUUGCAAGAAGGGUGGUCAUGUAUGUGAUGAGUUGGUUGCUUUCCCUAAACUUGAAUGGUUGAUCUUCACGGAUAUGCCCAACUGGGAGGUGUGGUCUUUUUUUGAGGAAGAAGUUGCUGCUGAUGAGCGGGGAGAGGAUGGAGCUGACGAGAUUCGAAUAGAGGAUGCCCCAUCUACAAGGCUGCGACUGCUGCCUCAUUUGAUGAAGUUAUACCUCCAUGGCUGUCCGAAGCUGAGGAAUUUCCUGCAACAGCUUGGAAAAGACACCGCAUGUUUGAAGGAGCUCAAUUUAGGAGGACUAAACAACUUGAAGGCGGUGGAGGACCUCCCAGUGCUCUGUGAGGUCCUUGUUAUUUCGUAUUGUGAAGACUUGGAGAGACUCUGCAACCUCUCUCAAGUGACAGAGUUGCGUGUAUUUGGUUGUCCGAACUUAAGCCAUGUAGUGGGGUUGGGUAGUUUGCAGCAGCUGUGGCUGAGCAAGGAUAUGCAAGAGGUCUCUUCACGCUGGUUGCCUGGGCUUCAAGAGUAGCACCGGCGACUUCAUAGCGAAGACCUGGAUAUCUACACAUGGACAAUUAGAUGGCACAAGGUAUACAAUUGA
rnacentral:rRNA from 1 species